rnacentral:rRNA from 1 species
AACGAACGCUGGCGGCAGGCCUAACACAUGCAAGUCGAACGCUCGUAGCAAUACGGGAGUGGCAGACGGGUGAGUAACACGUGGGAACCUUCCCUAUGGUUCGGAAUAGCUCAGGGGAACUUGGGGUAAUACCGGAUAAGCCCUUGGGGAAAGAUUUAUCGCCAUUGGAUGGGCCCGCGUCGGAUUAGCUAGUUGGUGAGGUAACGGCUCACCAAGGCAACGAUCCGUAGCUGGUCUGAGAGGAUGAUCAGCCACACUGGGACUGAGACACGGCCCAGACUCCUACGGGAGGCAGCAGUGGGGAAUAUUGGACAAUGGGCGCAAGCCUGAUCCAGCCAUGCCGCGUGAGUGACGAAGGUCUUCGGAUUGUAAAACUCUUUUGGCGGGGACGAAGCGGAAGUGACGGUAGGAGCAGAAGGAGCACCGGGCCAACUACGUGCCAGCAGCCGCGGUAAG